rnacentral:rRNA from 1 species
UACGUAGGGGGCAAGCGUUGUCCGGAUUUAUUGGGCGUAAAGAGCGUGUAGGCGGCCUGACAGGUCUGCUGUGAAAACUCGAGGCUCAACCUCGAGAUGUCGGCGGAAACCGUCUGGCUAGAGUCCGGAAGAGGAGAGUGGAAUUCCUGGUGUAGAGGUGAAAUUCGUAGAUAUUCGCAAGAACACCAGUGGCGAAGGCGGCUCACUGGCCCGGUACUGACGCUGAGGCACGAAAGCGUGGGGAGCAAACAGG